AGUGAACGCUGGCGGUAGGCCUAACACAUGCAAGUCGAACGGCAGCACAGGAGAGCUUGCUCUCUGGGUGGCGAGUGGCGGACGGGUGAGGAAUACAUCGGAAUCUGCCCAGUCGUGGGGGAUAACGUAGGGAAACUUACGCUAAUACCGCAUACGACCUUCGGGUGAAAGAGGGGGAUCGCAAGACCUCUCGCGAUUGGAUGAGCCGAUGUCGGAUUAGCUAGUUGGCGGGGUAAUGGCCCACCAAGGCGACGAUCCGUAGCUGGUCUGAGAGGAUGAUCAGCCACACUGGAACUGAGACGCGGUCCAGACUCCUACGGGAGGCAGCAGUGGGGAAUAUUGGACAAUGGGCGCAAGCCUGAUCCAGCCAUACCGCGUGGGUGAAGAAGGCCUUCGGGUUGUAAAGCCCUUUUGUUGGGAAAGAAAUCUUUCAGGCUAAUACCCUGGGAGGAUGACGGUACCCAAAGAAUAAGCACCGGCUAACUUCGUG
rnacentral:rRNA from 1 species